GCGUCAGUGAUCCAACGGCCAAGAUUCUAGCUUCCCAAGCUAGCUAUUCGGGUUCGAAUCCCGACUGGCGCA
rnacentral:tRNA from 1 species